AGUGAACGCUGGCGGUAGGCCUAACACAUGCAAGUCGAACGGCAGCACAGUAAGAGCUUGCUCUUACGGGUGGCGAGUGGCGGACGGGUGAGGAAUACAUCGGAAUCUACUUUUUCGUGGGGGAUAACGUAGGGAAACUUACGCUAAUACCGCAUACGACCUCCGGGUGAAAGCAGGGGAUCUUCGGACCUUGCGCGAUUGAAUGAGCCGAUGUCGGAUUAGCUAGUUGGCGGGGUAAAGGCCCACCAAGGCGACGAUCCGUAGCUGGUCUGAGAGGAUGAUCAGCCACACUGGAACUGAGACACGGUCCAGACUCCUACGGGAGGCAGCAGUGGGGAAUAUUGGACAAUGGGCGUAAGCCUGAUCCAGCCAUACCGCGUGGGUGGAGAAGGCCUUCGGGUUGUAAAGCCCUUUUGUUGGGAAAGAAAAGCAGCAGGUUAAUACCCCGCUGUUCUGACGGUACCCAAAGAAUAAGCACCGGCUAACUUCGUG
rnacentral:rRNA from 1 species